UACGAAGGGUGCAAACGUUGCUCGGAAUCAUUGGGCGUAAAGCGCACGUAGGCGGCUCCAAAAGUCGGAUGUGAAAUCCCUCGGCUCAACCGAGGACGUGCAUCCGAAACUGCGGAGCUUGAGUAUGGAAGAGGGUCGCGGAAUCCCCGGUGUAGAGGUGAAAUUCGUAGAUAGUCGGGGGGAACACCAGUGGCGAAGGCGGCGACCUGGGCCAAUACUGACGCUGAGGUGCGAAAGCGUGGGGAGCAAACAGG
rnacentral:rRNA from 1 species